GUGGAGAUGGCUUAGCGGUCUAAGGCACCAGAUUAAGGGUCUGGUCUGAAAGGGCGUGGGUUCAAAUCCCAUUGUCCACA
rnacentral:tRNA from 1 species